UACGUAGGGCGCAAGCGUUAUCCGGAAUUAUCGGGCGUAAAGAGCUCGUAGGCGGUUGGUCGCGCCUGCCGUGAAAGUCCGGGGCUCAACUCCGGAUCUGCGGUGGGUACGGGCAGGCUAGAGUGUUGUAGGGGAGACUGGAAUUCCUGGUGUAGCGGUGAAAUGCGUAGAUAUCAGGAGGAACACCGAUGGCGAAGGCAGGUCUCUGGGCAUUAACUGACGCUGAGGAGCGAAAGCAUGGGGAGCGAACAGG
rnacentral:misc_RNA from 1 species